rnacentral:lncRNA from 12 species
UCAUCUGCCCUUUAUCUGCACUCUCUGUCCAUUUUGUCUUGCAGGCUGAGGGAUAAAGCAACCCCACCUUUUCAUCCUUCUCCUGUACUACUGAGCUGGCUGCAAACAAAACAUGGUGGGAGCCUUGCCAGGCAGUGGUGUGGUUCCCCUGAGGUGCUGGAUCCCCUAUAUCUGUGAGGAACAGUUCUGCUGCCAAC